rnacentral:rRNA from 1 species
UACGGCGAGUGAGCGGCAAAAGCUCAAAUUUGAAAUCUGGUACCUUCGGUGCCCGAGUUGUAAUUUGGAGAGGGCAACUUUGGGGCCGUUCCUUGUCUAUGUUCCUUGGAACAGGACGUCAUAGAGGGUGAGAAUCCCGUGUGGCGAGGAGUGCGGUUCUUUGUAAAGUGCCUUCGAAGAGUCGAGUUGUUUGGG